rnacentral:rRNA from 1 species
UGGGGAAUAUUGGACAAUGGGCGAAAGCCUGAUCCAGCCAUGCCGCGUGUGUGAAGAAGGUCUUCGGAUUGUAAAGCACUUUAAGUUGGGAGGAAGGGCAUUAACCUAAUACGUUAGUGUUUUGACGUUACCGACAGAAUAAGCACCGGCUAACUCUGUGCCAGCAGCCGCGGUAAUACAGAGGGUGCAAGCGUUAAUCGGAAUUACUGGGCGUAAAGCGCGCGUAGGUGGUUUUUUAAGUUGGAUGUGAAAGCCCCGGGCUCAACCUGGGAACUGCAUUCAAAACUGACUGACUAGAGUAUGGUAGAGGGUGGUGGAAUUUCCUGUGUAGCGGUGAAAUGCGUAGAUAUAGGAAGGAACACCAGUGGCGAAGGCGACCACCUGGACUAAUACUGACACUGAGGUGCGAAAGCGUGGGGAGCAAACA